AGUGAACGCUGGCGGUAGGCCUAACACAUGCAAGUCGAACGGCAGCACAGUAAGAGCUUGCUCUUACGGGUGGCGAGUGGCGGACGGGUGAGGAAUACAUCGGAAUCUACUUUUUCGUGGGGGAUAACGUAGGGAAACUCACGCUAAUACCGCAUACGACCUACGGGUGAAAGCAGGGGAUCUUCGGACCUUGCGCGAUUGAAUGAGCCGAUGUCGGAUUAGCUAGUUGGCGGGGUAAAGGCCCACCAAGGCGACGAUCCGUAGCUGGUCUGAGAGGAUGAUCAGCCACACUGGAACUGAGACACGGUCCAGACUCCUACGGGAGGCAGCAGUGGGGAAUAUUGGACAAUGGGCGCAAGCCUGAUCCAGCCAUACCGCGUGGGUGAAGAAGGCCUUCGGGUUGUAAAGCCCUUUUGUUGGGAAAGAAAAGCAGCAGGUUAAUACCCCGCUGUUCUGACGGUACCCAAAGGAUAAGCACCGGCUAACUUCGUG
rnacentral:rRNA from 1 species